rnacentral:rRNA from 1 species
GGUUAAGCGACUAAGCGUACACGGUGGAUGCCCUGGCAGUCAGAGGCGAUGAAGGGCGUGCUAAUCUGCGAUAAGCGCCGGUAAGGUGAUAUGAACCGUUAUAACCGGCGAUACCCGAAUGGGGAAACCCAGUGUGAUUCGUCACACUAUCAUUAACUGAAUCCAUAGGUUAAUGAGGCGAACCGGGGGAACUGAAACAUCUAAGUACCCCGAGGAAAAGAAAUCAACCGAGAUUCCCCCAGUAGCGGCGAGCGAACGGGGAGGAGCCCAGAGCCUGAAUCAGCAUGUGUGUUAGUGGAAGCGUCUGGAAAGGCGCGCGAUACAGGGUGACAGCCCCGUACACAAAAGCGCAUGUGCUGUGAGCUCGAUGAGUAGGGCGGGACACGUGGUAUCCUGUCUGAAUAUGGGGGGACCAUCCUCCAAGGCUAAAUACUCCUGACUGACCGAUAGUGAACCAGUACCGUGAGGGAAAGGCGAAAAGAACCCCGGCGAGGGGAGUGAAAAAGAACCUGAAACCGUGUACGUACAAGCAGUGGGAGCCCCACCACUAAGCCAGUGGUGAACUCCACAUCCGCAUCCUUUGCUGAGGAUACGGUUAACGGAGCGAAAGCGACGUUCAACCGCAAAACAAGCAGAGGGGGCUUAGUGGUGGGGUGACUGCGUACCUUUUGUAUAAUGGGUCAGCGACUUAUAUUCUGUAGCAAGGUUAACCGUAUAGGGGAGCCGGAGGGAAACCGAGUCUUAACCGGGCGUUAAGUUGCAGGGUAUAGACCCGAAACCCGGUGAUCUAGCCAUGGGCAGGUUGAAGGUUGGGUAACACUAACUGGAGGACCGAACCGACUAAUGUUGAAAAAUUAGCGGAUGACCUGUGGCUGGGGGUGAAAGGCCAAUCAAACCGGGAGAUAGCUGGUUCUCCCCGAAAGCUAUUUAGGUAGCGCCUCGUGAAUUCAUCUCCGGGGGUAGAGCACUGUUUCGGCUAGGGGGCCAUCCCGGCUUACCAACCCGAUGCAAACUGCGAAUACCGGAGAAUGUUAUCACGGGAGACACACGGCGGGUGCUAACGUCCGUCGUGAAGAGGGAAACAACCCAGACCGCCAGCUAAGGUCCCAAAGUCAUGGUUAAGUGGGAAACGAUGUGGGAAGGCCCAGACAGCCAGGAUGUUGGCUUAGAAGCAGCCAUCAUUUAAAGAAAGCGUAAUAGCUCACUGGUCGAGUCGGCCUGCGCGGAAGAUGUAACGGGGCUAAACCAUGCACCGAAGCUGCGGCAGCGAACGUAUCACCCAAGACAACUUUACGGAGUUGACGAUUGACGGAGCGAAGCGACGUCAAAGCGUUCAUUAAAGUCGAGUUGGCUUAGGGAUACGUUCGUUGGGUAGGGGAGCGUUCUGUAAGCCUGUGAAGGUGUGUCGUGAGGCAUGCUGGAGGUAUCAGAAGUGCGAAUGCUGACAUAAGUAACGAUAAAGCGGGUGAAAAGCCCGCUCGCCGGAAGACCAAGGGUUCCUGUCCAACGUUAAUCGGGGCAGGGUGAGUCGACCCCUAAGGCGAGGCCGAAAGGCGUAGUCGAUGGGAAACGGGUUAAUAUUCCCGUACUUGGUGUUACUGCGAAGGGGGGACGGAGAAGGCUAUGUUGGCCGGGCGACGGUUGUCCCGGUUUAAGCGUGUAGGUGUGUGUUCCAGGUAAAUCCGGUUCACUUUAACACUGAGGCGUGACGACGAGGCACUACGGUGCUGAAGCAACAAAUGCCCUGCUUCCAGGAAAAGCCUCUAAGCAUCAGGUAACAUCAAAUCGUACCCCAAACCGACACAGGUGGUCAGGUAGAGAAUACCAAGGCGCUUGAGAGAACUCGGGUGAAGGAACUAGGCAAAAUGGUGCCGUAACUUCGGGAGAAGGCACGCUGACACGUAGGUGAAGUGAUUUACUCAUGGAGCUGAAGUCAGUCGAAGAUACCAGCUGGCUGCAACUGUUUAUUAAAAACACAGCACUGUGCAAACACGAAAGUGGACGUAUACGGUGUGACGCCUGCCCGGUGCCGGAAGGUUAAUUGAUGGGGUCAGCGCAAGCGAAGCUCCUGAUCGAAGCCCCGGUAAACGGCGGCCGUAACUAUAACGGUCCUAAGGUAGCGAAAUUCCUUGUCGGGUAAGUUCCGACCUGCACGAAUGGCGUAAUGAUGGCCAGGCUGUCUCCACCCGAGACUCAGUGAAAUUGAACUCGCUGUGAAGAUGCAGUGUACCCGCGGCAAGACGGAAAGACCCCGUGAACCUUUACUAUAGCUUGACACUGAACAUUGAGCCUUGAUGUGUAGGAUAGGUGGGAGGCUUUGAAGUGUGGACGCCAGUCUGCAUGGAGCCGACCUUGAAAUACCACCCUUUAAUGUUUGAUGUUCUAACGUGGACCCGUAAUCCGGGUUGCGGACAGUGUCUGGUGGGUAGUUUGACUGGGGCGGUCUCCUCCUAAAGAGUAACGGAGGAGCACGAAGGUUGGCUAAUCCUGGUCGGACAUCAGGAGGUUAGUGCAAUGGCAUAAGCCAGCUUGACUGCGAGCGUGACGGCGCGAGCAGGUGCGAAAGCAGGUCAUAGUGAUCCGGUGGUUCUGAAUGGAAGGGCCAUCGCUCAACGGAUAAAAGGUACUCCGGGGAUAACAGGCUGAUACCGCCCAAGAGUUCAUAUCGACGGCGGUGUUUGGCACCUCGAUGUCGGCUCAUCACAUCCUGGGGCUGAAGUAGGUCCCAAGGGUAUGGCUGUUCGCCAUUUAAAGUGGUACGCGAGCUGGGUUUAGAACGUCGUGAGACAGUUCGGUCCCUAUCUGCCGUGGGCGCUGGAGAACUGAGGGGGGCUGCUCCUAGUACGAGAGGACCGGAGUGGACGCAUCACUGGUGUUCGGGUUGUCAUGCCAAUGGCACUGCCCGGUAGCUAAAUGCGGAAGAGAUAAGUGCUGAAAGCAUCUAAGCACGAAACUUGCCCCGAGAUGAGUUCUCCCUGAGACUUAGAGUCUCCUGAAGGAACGUUGAAGACGACGACGUUGAUAGGCCGGGUGUGUAAGCGCAGCGAUGCGUUGAGCUAACCGGUACUAAUGAACCGUGAGGCUUAACCUU